UACGUAGGGGGCUAGCGUUGUCCGGAUUUAUUGGGCGUAAAGAGCGUGUAGGCGGCCAGGCAGGUCUGCUGUGAAAACUCGAGGCUCAACCUCGAGACGUCGGCGGAAACCAUCUGGCUAGAGUCCGGAAGAGGAGAGUGGAAUUCCUGGUGUAGCGGUGAAAUGCGCAGAUAUCAGGAAGAACACCCGUGGCGAAAGCGGCUCUCUGGGACGGUACUGACGCUGAGACGCGAAAGCGUGGGGAGCGAACAGG
rnacentral:rRNA from 1 species